ACCAGUUUCCAGAGGCCAAAGAAAAAGAAACAUCGAGACGGUGAUAAAAGAUUGGCUAAGACCGUCAUGAAAUCGAAUUGUUAGCAAGUAGGAAGGAAGGAGAGAAACGACUGAGGAGGACGAAGACUGCAUCCCAUAAAUGGCUCAUGGACUCAAUCUUUAGAUAAUCUUUAUGUCUUUAAAAUUCAUUAUUAUUUAUAAGUGCAAAGAUCUAAUGUAAUAUUUUUAAAUACAUACAUGUUGGAGUAUAA